rnacentral:rRNA from 1 species
AGCAAAUCUCCUAAAGCCGUUCUCAGUUCGGAUUGUAGGCUGCAACUCGCCUACAUGAAGUCGGAAUCGCUAGUAAUCGCGGAUCAGCAUGCCGCGGUGAAUACGUUCCCGGGCCUUGUACACACCGCCCGUCACACCAUGAGAGUUUGUAACACCCAAAGCCGGUGGGGUAACCUUUUGGAGCCAGCCGUCUAAGGUGGGACAGAUGAUUGGGGUGAAGUCGUAACAAGGUACC